rnacentral:rRNA from 1 species
GAUGAACGCUGGCGGCGUGCCUAAUACAUGCAAGUCGAGCGAACGGACGAGAAGCUUGCUUUUCUGAUGUUAGCGGCGGACGGGUGAGUAACACGUGGAUAACCUACCUAUAAGACUGGGAUAACUUCGGGAAACCGGAGCUAAUACCGGAUAAUAUUUUGAACCGCAUGGUUCAAAAGUGAAAGACGGUCUUGCUGUCACUUAUAGAUGGAUCCGCGCUGCAUUAGCUAGUUGGUAAGGUAACGGCUUACCAAGGCAACGAUGCAUAGCCGACCUGAGAGGGUGAUCGGCCACACUGGAACUGAGAAACGGUCCAGACUCCUACGGGAGGCAGCAGUAGGGAAUCUUCCGCAAUGGGCGAAAGCCUGACGUAGCAACGCCGCGUGAGUGAUGAAGGUGUUCGGAUCGUAAAACUCUGUUAUUAGGGAAGAACAUAUGUGUAAGUAACUGUGCACAUCUUGACGGUACCUAAUCAGAAAGCCACGGCUAACUACGUG